ACAAGGGAACUCAUACUAUGCUCCAAGCAGAUCUAGUUGAGCACUUGUGGCAACGUCACUUGGCUAAUAUCAAUAAUUGAGGGUGUACAGCAAUGAGAGGUGAAGGAGCUAUUGCAGUAUUGGACGCUGCCGCUGGAGGUUGGUUAGAUAGAAACAGGCUUGUGGUUGUCUCAAGGGAGGUAAAAACUUUAGACCAUAGUUGAUAGUAUGAAUAAUGCAUACAUCUUGGCGUCGAUAGUAUAUGCAAAUGCAUACAUCUUGUAGUUGACAUUAUAAGAGAACAUGU